rnacentral:rRNA from 1 species
GACGAACGCUGGCGGCGUGCUUAACACAUGCAAGUCGAACGGAAAGGCCCUGCUUUUGUGGGGUGCUCGAGUGGCGAACGGGUGAGUAACACGUGAGUAACCUGCCCUUGACUUUGGGAUAACUUCAGGAAACUGGGGCUAAUACCGGAUAGGAGCUCCUGCUGCAUGGUGGGGGUUGGAAAGUUUCGGCGGUUGGGGAUGGACUCGCGGCUUAUCAGCUUGUUGGUGGGGUAGUGGCUUACCAAGGCUUUGACGGGUAGCCGGCCUGAGAGGGUGACCGGCCACAUUGGGACUGAGAUACGGCCCAGACUUCUACGGGAGGCAGCAGUGGGGAAUAUUGCACAAUGGGCGGAAGCCUGACGCAGCAACGCCGCGUGCGGGAUGACGGCCUUCGGGUUGUAAACCGCUUUCGCCUGUGACGAAGCGUGAGUGACGGUAAUGGGUAAAGAAGCACCGGCUAACUACGUG